rnacentral:tRNA from 2 species
GGAGGGUUGGCCGAGUGGUCUAAGGCGGCAGACUUAAGAUCUGUUGGACGGUUGUCCGCGCGGGUUCGAAACCCGCACCCUUCA